rnacentral:rRNA from 1 species
UACGAAGGGAGCUAGCGUUGUUCGGAAUCACUGGGCGUAAAGCGCACGUAGGCGGAUUUGUUAGUCAGGGGUGAAAUCCCGGGGCUCAACCUCGGAACUGCCUUUGAUACUGCAGAUCUAGAGUCCGAUAGAGGUGGGUGGAAUUCCUAGUGUAGAGGUGAAAUUCGUAGAUAUUAGGAAGAACACCAGUGGCGAAGGCGGCUCACUGGUCCGGUACUGACGCUGAGGUGCGAAAGCGUGGGGAGCAAACAGG